UACGUAGGGAGCAAGCGUUGUCCGGAAUCAUUGGGCGUAAAGCGCGUGUAGGCGGCUUGGUAAGUCUGCUCUGAAAGCCCGGGGCUCAACCCCGGGAGGCGGGUGGAUACUGCUGAGCUCGAGUCCGGAAGAGGCGAGUGGAAUUCCUGGUGUAGCGGUGAAAUGCGCAGAUAUCAGGAGGAACACCAAUGGCGAAGGCGACUUCCUGGCCUGUUCUUGACGCUGAGGCGCGAAAGCUAGGGUAGCAAACGGG
rnacentral:rRNA from 1 species